rnacentral:misc_RNA from 1 species
GGAACAUCCACAAUUAUGCCAUCCUGAUCCUGUAACACUUGGUCAUCGUCAAUUUCUCUUCAGAAAAUUAAAAAUGUUGGUUUCAAUCAAGCUACCACUGUCUUGUUCUUGGAUAAGGUAAUGGGUAUUACUGGUUUUGCGAUUUCAGAAAAUAAUGCCAGACAUUCAAGUUGGGAGCUGUCUGGUAAAUUGAAGACAAAUUUCAAUGCUUUCAAUCAUUGAUAAGGUUACUGGUACUUGAAACUCAGGUAUGAAGUUGUUCCAGGAUACCAUUAUUUCUAGUAGAAUCAUGGGAAAUUUUAAUGGUAAGAAUUGAUGAUAGAAGAACAUUAUCAAUCCAUUUACCAAUCUUUACUUCAAGAUAGCUAUGUGCAUAAAUUUGUUACAGGAAAAACCCAUAUCUUGGAGGUGAUGAACUGCAGAACUGAAGCAAUGAACCUUUGUAUGAGCAUGCAGACAAUUGGACUUUCCUUUUCCAUGGAAAGUUUUGAAAUAACAACACUAGUCUAGUCUAGUGGGUAGCUUUCUAUGCAGAGGAAGUCAAAUAUAAUCAAGGGGAGCACCAACAGCCAUUAAACUUGAAAAAUCAUUUAAUAUAUGCUUCCUUCCUUCUUUCUUUUUAAACAUUUCUCAUGUCCACUAAUCUGAAUAGCAGAUUCAUGCAUGAUCCUAAAUUUCUUUAUGUCUGUACUUUCAUGUGUUCAAUUAGACUGCUUUCUAGAGCAUAUAUUUCCUCUCUAUAAAUACAUGGAUCCUAUUCUCUAUAAAUAAGAAAAACUAAAAUUUUGUAUCUAAAGGAGCACUAUAUUUUAGUACUCAUACUGUAAAUUAUAAUUCUCUAAAUAUAUAAUACGAUAUGAUUUGUAGUACUACGAG